GCAAUCCCUUUUCCAUACCACUCUUCACAAGCAGCACCUCAGUAACUCAUUAAGAUCCUGAUGUUAUUGAAGUUGCAAGUCUUCUGGUCAUCUUCCCCUAACAUUUCUCCCAGCUCUAAGACUAUGGACCAGAAUUCUUUAUGGUGUGCAAAAGCCACCGGGUUCCAGAUGCUAUCAUGAUGCCAACGUGAUUUCCUUGGGCAGAUGACUCCACCAUGUGUCCUGGAGCCCCAUCUCCCUAGACCCCUAUCCCACUAGAGAAAAAGAGAGAUAGGCUGGGAGUAUGGAUCAACCUGUCAAUGCCCUAGUUCCACAGGGAAGCAAUUACAGAAGCCAGACCUUCCACCUUCUGCACCCCACAGUGAUUCUGGGUCCAUACUCCCAGAGUGAUAAAGAAUAGGGAAGUUAUCGAGGAAGGGGAUUGGAUAUAGAGUUCUGGUGGUGGGAAUUAUGUGGAAUUUUACCCCUCUUAUCCUAUUAUCUUGUCAACACUUCCAUUUCAUAAAUAGAUAAGAAACAUUUAGCCCCUGAAAAUACAAUAUUGUUUGUCAAAUCAUUGACAUCACAGAGACAGCAAAGUUAUAAAUCUGGGCAAUUGGUGGUACAUACUUUACCUUACGCAAGGACCUGGUUUCCAGCACCCACACCCCACCAAUAGGAAGACAAGCUUCAGAAACAAUGUAGUAAAUUUCUUGGUCCUCUCUUUCUCUUUCUAUCUCCUCCUUUCCUCUCAAUUUCUCUCUGUCCUUUUAAAUAAAAUAGAAAGAAAAAGAAAAAAGAAAAAAAAUGCCUACUGGGAGUGGUGUAUUCAUAGUGAUGAUACUGAGCUCAGGUGAUAACCCUGGUGGGAAAAAACAAACAAAACCCCCAAAAGUAAAUUCUGCUAAA